rnacentral:rRNA from 1 species
UACGAAGGGGGCUAGCGUUGCUCGGAAUCACUGGGCGUAAAGCGCACGUAGGCGGAUCUUUAAGUCAGGGGUGAAAUCCCGAGGCUCAACCUCGGAACUGCCCUUGAUACUGGGGAUCUCGAGUCCGGAAGAGGUUGGUGGAACUCCGAGUGUAGAGGUGAAAUUCGUAGAUAUUCGGAAGAACACCAGUGGCGAAGGCGGCCAGCUGGUCCGGCACUGACGCUGAGGUGCGAAAGCGUGGGGAGCAAACAGG